GAUGAACGCUGGCGGCGUGCCUAAUACAUGCAAGUCGAGCGAGCGGCGGACGGGUGAGUAAUGUCUGGGAAACUGCCCGAUGGAGGGGGAUCACUAAUGGAAACGGUAUCUAAUACCGCAUACCAUCGGAUGUUCCCAGCUGGGAUUUGCUAGUAGGUGGGGUAACGGCUCACCUAGUCGACGAUCCCUAGCUGGUCUGAGAGGAUGACCAGCCACAAGGGAACGGAGACACGGUCCAGACUCCUACGGGAGGCAGCAGUGGGGAAGAUUGCACAAUGGGCGUAAGCCUGAUGCAGCCAUGCCGAGUGUAUGAAGAAGGCCUUCGGGUUGUAAAGUACUGUCAGCGAGGAGGCGUUACUCGCAGAAGAAGCACCGGCUAACUACGUGCCAGCAGCCGCGGUAAUUC
rnacentral:rRNA from 1 species